GGGAGAAUUGUCCUUGUUUUACUGUCAUUGUGGGGAUUUUAGCUGUGCACAACGAUAGAAGAACCAACCCCCUUCCCACACAAAUACACCACAAUGCAAAAGUCUCCCUCCUGGCCACCUUUGACUCACUCACACACACUCACUCGCACACACCCCACAAACUCAAAUGCUCGUUCAUUUGCAUCGUAGCCCGGAGGCGCGCCCACGCUGUUCAGGUUCAUAAGCGCAGUACGAGGAGGCGUCACCAGUCAUUCAAAUUCAGAGGAUGAGUAUUGCUCACGCCAACGAGAAGAGAGUAUGAGUGUUUAGUUCCGAACAUUCAUAGUAGCCUAAGUUGUGCCACGUUCUUUGCGAGUUUUAGUCAAUUAACAUUAUUGGAAUUUAGCUUCAAUCUUGAGCAGGCAAUGUUGAACGAAGCUUCGGGUCAGAAGUACUUUGAUGUUCGAAACGGUACUAUUGGAAUGUAUAAUGUAAUAUCGUCAGUGAUGCUGGCUGCUGAGAGAAAUUGAGGGUUUUGGUUGGUCUUAUUAAUGUUAUUCCAAUAGCUAUAAUAAUUGAUAAACACCUGUUCAUUUGCAUCCGGUCAGUUAUGAAGACGGGUACUCUUAGAAGCGCCAGGACAUCCUUUGCAUGAAACUGCAGCAAGAUCAAGACGGUGAGUCCAACUGGACCCGAUUCAAAGAGAAGCUGGGAAACAAGCCUGGGGAAAAGGACUGAGGACCACGACACCUGUGCCCAGUCUACCCCCAAAACUAACCCCUCCCACAAAAAAAGAAACCUUAAAUCUACCAUGUCUCUCAACACCUUCCACCUGAUGGAGACCCUCAAGAACUCCCCGUCCGUUUUACGCCGCCGCUUCCGCCGUGACCGCACCGAGUCCCUCUCCCACGGCGACCCGCUCUUCAAGGUCCACUACCUGGGCACUGAGAAAAUCUUCUCCCUGGAUCUACAGCAGGCCCAGGACGCCAUAGCCCGGCUGCUCGACGGGGCCUCCAACGGAAAGAAACUGAGCAAAGACCAUGCGUUGGUGGUUCGUCCACGCUACGUCGAAGUCAAAGAGCUCAGCACUGGACGCCAGCUCACUAAGACGUACCUCCAGGACAUCGCCUACUGCGCGGCCGACGCCACCAGACCCAACGUGUUUCUGUACAUCUGUAAGCAUCACGGGCAACAGCUGCACUGCCGGGUGUUUUGGUGUAGCCGGGCAGAGCGGGCACGGGACAUGACUGCCUGCCUGGCACACUCCUUCCAGAGGGCACUGAAUGACUGGCAGGGGGACGGGGACGUUGGGUUAGGGGGAAGUACCGACACGCUGACCCCAGAAAAGGACGGGGUGAAGGAGGGAGAGGAUAUGCCCAGCACCACUACUAACCCCAAAAACUCCAUACAACCAGACAGCUGUGGAAGAGUCCGUUGGAAGAAGAGGAGCUCCCUGUCUCGUAGUCCACUGAGAGCCAUGACCAGGAAGGGCUCUGCCUCUGACAUCUGGCACUGAGUCCCCGAUCCCCAGAAUGGGACACGGAACUGACGACAUCCCCAGUGGCUAGCUACAGCACGGAGGGAGGGAUUGAAUGAACCCGCCACUACUGGACACAACAGGAUUGAAAAAAAAAGGAGUGUGAGGGAGAUCACUGCUGGACUUUCUUUCAAAUGAGACAUUGCCUUGCUUACAUGUUGAGUCUACAGUACCGUUCAUGACCGGCAUGAAUGGUAGCCUACAAACUGUGGAAGUUAAUGACUAGCUACCUUGGCUUUUGUCUCUGGAUUACUAGAGAACAAGGUGCUUAGUUGAUAGCGUUGUACUGUACGCUGUUGGUAGAAACCAGUAUUCACCUCAGUGGCCUUGUGACUCGCUUUCACUGUUGGAACGCUUCAAGGCUGAACUGCUAAUUUCCAAUGCUACUCCAAGUUACUUGUUUUCCACUGAGUGGCCUUGAUACUCUGAACUGUCAGUUAUGCUUAGAAGAAAGGAGCUCAAGGUCCUGUGUGCCUUUUUUAGCUAGACAAGGACAUGACUACAGAGUUCACCAAACCUCAAUUUCCUCUCCAUACAAUGCUGAACACAGCCUGGACUGUUUGAAACUGGUCACAGUCAUGGCGAUGUCUGUUUAAAAAAAAAAAACAUUUAACAUUUGUUUGUAUUUAUUUUAAUGAGAAGUCUUGUUUGUAACACACGGUUCAUGCACCUCUUCUCUUCCUGAAACACUAGAUUGUUUUUUUAGAAGGGAGGAGGAGCUUAAGUUUGAGCCGAAUGUGAGCUCAGUGUUCGUCUUGGGAGAGGGGUUAAAAACGGAGGUGUGUGAGAGUGUUCAUGGGGCAUAAAGGGUUCAUUUUAAUUUAAGCAGACCAUAGAAGAACUGGGCUAUGUUGUCAUAAUUACACAGUAAUGUGUGUUCAUAGGCAGGGUUUUAAUACAUUUUAGUAUCAAUUCAUUCGGUUCAGACUUCACCACGUGUAAUUUAGUCCAGUUGUUCCCAACCUUUUUCGGUCACUGUACCACCAACUGAAUUUCUCUGCCUGGAGUACCCCUGAAGUACCCCCUCAUGUGCAUUUUGCCAGUAGGUCUAUGGUCUCAUGAGUCUUAUCAAGUACCCCCUGUGGCUAGACCACAUACCCCCAGGUGUCCUAGUACUCUUGUUGGGAACCACUAGCCUAGUCAAUGCACACUGACUGUUCACAUUAUUUAUUUUUUGUCAUAACAUAUUACUAUUCAAGUAAAAUGUAAUCCUUAAUUAAGUUCCAUAAGCUUAAUUUGUUCCUAUAAGGUGUUAGUGUUUGCUAGAACUGUGAGUUUGUUUUUUUCUUCAUACUGUGUCACACAGGAGGUUGGUGGCACCUUAAUUGGGGAGGACAGACUCGUAAUAGCUGGCGUGGAAUAGUAUCCAAUACAUCAAACAUGUGGUUUCCAUGCUUUUGCCAUUACAUUUGUUCCGUUCCAGCCAUUAUUAUGAUCCGUCCUCCCCUCAACAGCCUCCAUUGAUGUAUGUAUAUAUUUGCAAUUAUGUGGAAAAAUCACUCACCCAUGAUCCUGCUUGUUCCUCAUUAUUCCUGUGUGGGUGAAGUAUAACCCUGGGUGGGUGAUUUUUUUAAAUUUAUUUUAUUUUAUUUUUUUUGGGGGCGGCAUGUGUGGGGCAGGAAUGUUGGUUUGCAGUGUACGGAACUUCGACAGUGCACCUGCAUUCCUAUGGGGACAUUAAAGUUCUCGUAUCCUCCUUGGCUCUGCCCACUCUCUCCCCUCAGUCUGGCUUAACCUAACCUCAUGACUCUGCAUGUUUCAUAGCAUUAGUGUGUUGGCGUCCUGGCCCCAAGCUCAAAUACCUGUCUACACACACACAUUCUCAUGCCACAUCCGCUCAUUCCAUACAAUAUACUUCUGACCACCACGUCAGGGUUGUAUUCAUUGGGCACCUCAUAUCUCCAUGGUUUACAGUGAAAGGUGCCUCAGUUAUUUGACUUGACAAGAUGUCAAUGAUAUCAAUGGAUAGUUUUUAAAAAAUACAUUUUUAUUUGAAGUGACUAAUGUUAUGCAUCUCAAACUACAAAUGGCACAACCCCAUCUUGGGAGGGCAAGUGUCUAGUUUUGUUCUUGUUUUGUACAUCCUUGUUUACAUAUUUUUAAAUACGUGUAAGCUAUGGAAUAAACUUUCAUACAAUGAUACUUUUGGAAAUGUCUUUCUACCUCAACCGACGAUGCAGCGCUUCCAAAUGGCCAACCUCAAGCUAAAAACAAACGUCCCGUACCACACUACAGCCUGUGCUGUCUGUUUUAGUACUGGUGCCAAACAUUUGAUGGAGACUAAACAAGCAGAGGCAUAUCUAUUUAAAAUAUUAUGGGUGGGUCUAACUCUGACUGAAAGAAAACAACAUACUGCUGUGGGGCUGGAGAUGGUAGACAGAAGUUUAGGGGGUCAUGGGAUAAGUUAUGAGGCUUAUUUCUCAAGGUACUUUAUUCGGACAUUUUCCUAUAGUUGUUUACACUGGCGUUUUACCUCAAGCUUCACUGACUGGAGGUUCAUUUACAGUACCCCUCCCCCACAAGAUUAAGUACCAUCAUUCAAAUGUGCCCUUAUGGUACUACAGUAAAACAUUUCCUGGAAUGGAGGGACUACCUGGACUUAUCAGAUAAGAAACAGUUGUUUUUGGCUGCAAAUAGUUUUGCUACAGUGUGCACUAAUGAAUAUGACCCUGGUCACUCUUCCUCUGAGGACUCUCCUGAAGCAGGAGUGGCUGGCCUGGUGCUGCUGCCCUGUUGUCUUUGGACUGCAG
ensembl:lncRNA